GCGAACAGCGGGCAUGCCAGGGCGGGAUGACGUAGUGGGCGAGCAGUAAUAGGGAUUACUGGGCGGGAGGCGUGCGCAGGCGGUCCGCAAAGUCUGAUGUGAAAGCCCCGGGCUCAACCUGGGAACUGCAUUGGAAACUAACGGGCGCGAGGGUGGCAGAGGGGGGUGGAAUUCCACGUGUAGCAGUGAAAUGCGUAGAGAUGUGGAGGAACACCGAUGGCGAAGGCAGCCCCCUGGGCUAACACUGACGCUCAGGCACGAAAGCGUGGGGAGCAAACAGGAUUAGAUACCCCAGUAGUC
rnacentral:rRNA from 1 species